CAGUCGCCGCGGUAAUACAGAGGAUGCAAGCGCUAUCCGGAAUGAUUGGGCGUAAAGCGUCUGUAGGUGGCUUUUCAAGUCCGCCGUCAAAUCCCAGGGCUCAACCCUGGACAGGCGGUGGAAACUACCAAGCUGGAGUACGGUAGGGGCAGAGGGAAUUUCCGGUGUAGCGGUGAAAUGCGUAGAUAUCGGAAGGAACACCUGUGGCGAAAGCGGCUCACUGGACAUUUACUGACGCUGAUGCACGAAGGCUAGGGGAGCAAACAGGAUUAGAUACCCCCGUAGUCCCUGUCUCUUAUAA
rnacentral:rRNA from 1 species